AUUGAACGCUGGCGGCAUGCCUUACACAUGCAAGUCGAACGGUAACAGGUCUUCGGACGCUGACGAGUGGCGAACGGGUGGGUAAUACAUCGGAACGUGCCCAGUCGUGGGGGAUAACUACUCGAAAGAGUAGCUAAUACCGCAUACGAUCUGAGGAUGAAAGCGGGGGACCUUCGGGCCUCGCGCGAUUGGAGCGGCCGGUGGCAGAUUAGGUAGUUGGUGGGAUAAAAGCUUACCAAGCCGACGAUCUGUAGCUGGUCUGAGAGGACGACCGGCCACACUGGGACUGAGACACGGCCCAGACUCCUACGGGAGGCAGCAGUGGGGAAUUUUGGACAAUGGGCGAAAGCCUGAUCCAGCAAUGCCGCGUGCAGGAUGAAGGCCUUCGGGUUGUAAACUGCUUUUGUACGGAACGAAAAAGCUCCUUCUAAUACAAGGGGCCCAUGACGGUACCGUAAGAAUAAGCACCGGCUAACUACGUGCCAGCAGCCGCGGUAAAAC
rnacentral:rRNA from 1 species